AAAAAAUUAGUUAAAUUUAUAACAUUAAUUUGUCAAAUUAAAAUUAUUUUUAAAUAUUUUUUA
rnacentral:tRNA from 1 species